rnacentral:rRNA from 1 species
CCUACGGGAGGCAGCAGUGGGGAAUAUUGCACAAUGGGGGAAACCCUGAAGCAGCGACGCCGCGUGAGUGAAGAAGUAUUUCGGUAUGUAAAGCUCUAUCAGCAGGGAAGAAAAUGACGGUACCUGAUUAAGAAGCCCCGGCUAACUACGUGCCAGCAGCCGCGGUAAUACGUAGGGGGCAAGCGUUAUCCGGAUUUACUGGGUGUAAAGGGAGCGUAGACGGCAGCACAAGUCUGGAGUGAAAUGCCGGGGCUUAACCCCGGAACUGCUUUGGAAACUGUGCAGCUAGAGUGCAGGAGAGGUAAGUGGAAUUCCUAGUGUAGCGGUGAAAUGCGUAGAUAUUAGGAGGAACACCAGUGGCGAAGGCGGCUUACCGGCGCCCGACUGACGCUGAAGCACGAAAGCGUGGGUAUCGAACAGGAUUAGAUACCCUGGUAGUC